AAUAAAGUGCCUGAUAAAAGGAUUAUUCUGAUAGAAUAAAUUAUAAAGUAUAUACUUUCUUUAUUA
rnacentral:tRNA from 1 species